GGCGAACGGCGGAGUAAUACAUAAACAACGUGCCCUGAAGACUGGGAUAUAACGGUCGAAAAGGCCGAGCAAUACCGGAUGUGGCCGAGACUAGGCAUCUAGACUCGAUUAAAUGGUUUUCGCUUCAGGAGCGGUUUAUGACUCAUCAGCUAAGUUGGUAGGGUAAUGGCCUACCAAGGCUACGACGGGUAGGGGGUCUGAGAGGAUGAUCCCCCCGAGUGGGACUGAGACACGGCCCACACACCUACGGGUGGCAGCAGUUUGGAAUCUGCCAAUGGGGAAACCCUGAGGCAGCGACGCCGCGUGGAGGAUGAAGGAUUUAGGUCUGUAAACUCCUUUUGCCAGGAAAGACUUAGGACGGUACCUGGCGAAUAAGCUCCGGCUAACUACGUG
rnacentral:rRNA from 1 species